UGGUGAACUAGGCCGGAGGGCUGGGCGUCCCCUGUAACCUCAAAUCGUCCUUAUGGAGGGGCUGAAGUCUGGGAGGCGAUCUAUCGAUCAGGUAUUGGUCUGGGUUUUCAACUAUGAAUUUUCGUCUCAUCGGAUCGCUCUCUGUAGGAACCGGGUCAGACCCUGGCGGGAGCAGCCCUAACUAUAGAGAGUGGUGCUGGUGAGAUAGCGGAAAUGAGAAGAAACUCAGGUAGCCAGUAUCUGAGAGAUAUUUCCACUCUCGGACGCGUUCACCA
rnacentral:SRP_RNA from 1 species